rnacentral:lncRNA from 1 species
ACUUUAAAUUAAUAAAUAAUUGUAGCACAAAUUGUUCUAAUUUCUAUACGAAUACUGGUCUGAGUCAAAACUUUCCUAUAAUAAUUUUUCGAAUGCUAAUUUGUGAAUAUAUAAUGGAAAGUAAAUAAAUUUAAUAAUAUUUUCCCAAUAUAUAUGGCAUUCAAUGUCUUCCGCGUUCUAGUGUGAAUCAAGAAAUAAUUUUUCGAAUGCCCAA